rnacentral:rRNA from 1 species
UACGGAGGGUGCAAGUGUUGUUCGGAAUUACUGGGCGUAAAGAGUGCGUAGGCGGCUUGAUAAGUUGGGAGUGAAAGCCCGGGGCUCAACCUCGGAAUUGCUCUCAAAACUGUCGAGCUAGAGUAUGGUAGGGGACAGUGGAAUUCCUAGUGUAGGAGUGAAAUCCGUAGAUAUUAGGAGGAACACCAGAGGCGAAGGCGACUGUCUGGGCCAUUACUGACGCUAAGGUACGAAAGCGUGGGGAGCAAACAGG